AACGAACGCUGGCGGCAUGCCUAACACAUGCAAGUCGAACGAGACCUUCGGGUCUAGUGGCGCACGGGUGCGUAACGCGUGGGAACCUGCCCUUAGGUUCGGAAUAACUCCCCGAAAGGGGUGCUAAUACCGGAUAAUGUCUUCGGACCAAAGAUUUAUCGCCUUUGGAUGGGCCCGCGUUGGAUUAGCUAGUCGGUAGGGUAAAAGCCUACCAAGGCGACGAUCCAUAGCUGGUCUGAGAGGAUGAUCAGCCACACUGGGACUGAGACACGGCCCAGACUCCUACGGGAGGCAGCAGUGGGGAAUAUUGGACAAUGGGCGAAAGCCUGAUCCAGCAAUGCCGCGUGAGUGAUGAAGGCCUUAGGGUUGUAAAGCUCUUUACCCGGGAUGAUAAUGACAGUACCGGGAGAAUAAGCUCCGGCUAACUCCGUG
rnacentral:rRNA from 1 species